GAUCAUGGCUCAGAUUGAACGCUGGCGGCAGGCUUAACACAUGCAAGUCGAGCAGGGAAGGGUAGCUUGCUACCUAACCUAGCGGCGGACGGGUGAGUAAUGCUUAGGAAUCUGCCUAUUAGUGGGGGACAACAUUCCGAAAGGAAUGCUAAUACCGCAUACGCCCUACGGGGAAAGCAGGGGAUCUUCGGACCUUGCGCUAAUAGAUGAGCCUAAGUCAGAUUAGCUAGUUGGUGGGGUAAAGG
rnacentral:rRNA from 1 species